rnacentral:rRNA from 1 species
CCUACGGGUGGCAGCAGUGAGGAAUAUUGGUCAAUGGGCGGAAGCCUGAACCAGCCAAGUCGCGUGAGGGAUUAAGGCCCUGCGGGUCGUAAACCUCUUUUGCCGGGGAGCAGUGGUCCGGACGCGUCCGGACCGGGAGAGUACCCGGAGAAAAAGCAUCGGCUAACUCCGUGCCAGCAGCCGCGGUAAUACGGAGGAUGCGAGCGUUAUCCGGAGUGACUGGGUGUAAAGAGUUGCGUAGGUGGCAUAAUAAGUAGCUAGUGAAAUCUGGUGGCUCAACCAUUCAGACUAUUAGCUAAACUGUUAAGCUCGAGACCGUUAGGGGUAACUGGAAUUUCUAGUGUAGGAGUGAAAUCCGUAGAUAUUAGAAGGAACACCAAUAGCGUAGGCAGGUUACUGGGACGGUUCUGACACUAAGGCACGAAAGCGUAGGGAGCAAACGGGAUUAGAUACCCGUGUAGUC